GGGGCCGAAACAGGAUCGACGAACGUCUAAAGGGGUUAGCUUUGUCUCGGCUGGGUGCCACCGUUAUCGGCCUAAAUUGUACAGUUGCAAACGACAACCGUGCUCCGGUGGCCGUUGCUGCGUAAGCAGUAACAACACCGAAACUUAAGUCCUUGCGCCUAGCAGCGUAAGGCGGGGUUCGCAGGCACCUGGCAACAGAAGCCUGCACA
rnacentral:tmRNA from 1 species